GAUGAACGCUGGCGGCGUGCCUAAUACAUGCAAGUCGAGCGAACAGACGAGGAGCUUGCUCCUCUGACGUUAGCGGCGGACGGGUGAGUAACACGUGGAUAACCUACCUAUAAGACUGGGAUAACUUCGGGAAACCGGAGCUAAUACCGGAUAAUAUAUUGAACCGCAUGGUUCAAUAGUGAAAGACGGUUUUGCUGUCACUUAUAGAUGGAUCCGCGCCGCAUUAGCUAGUUGGUAAGGUAACGGCUUACCAAGGCAACGAUGCGUAGCCGACCUGAGAGGGUGAUCGGCCACACUGGAACUGAGACACGGUCCAGACUCCUACGGGAGGCAGCAGUAGGGAAUCUUCCGCAAUGGGCGAAAGCCUGACGGAGCAACGCCGCGUGAGUGAUGAAGGUCUUCGGAUCGUAAAACUCUGUUAUUAGGGAAGGACAUAUGUGUAAGUAACUAUGCACGUCUUGACGGUACCUAAUCAGAAAGCCACGGCUAACUACGUG
rnacentral:rRNA from 1 species